UACGGGGGGGGCAAGCGUUGUUCGGAAUUACUGGGCGUAAAGGGCUCGUAGGCGGCCAACUAAGUCAUACGUGAAAUCCCUCGGCUUAACCGGGGAACUGCGUCUGAUACUGGAUGGCUUGAGUUCGGGAGAGGGAUGCGGAAUUCCAGGUGUAGCGGUGAAAUGCGUAGAUAUCUGGAGGAACAUCGGUGGCGAAGGCGGCUUGCUGGGCCCUUACUGACGCUGAGACUCGAAAGCGUGGGGAGCAAACGGG
rnacentral:rRNA from 1 species